rnacentral:rRNA from 1 species
AUACGGAGGAUGCAAGCGUUAUCCGGAUUUAUUGGGUUUAAAGGGUGCGUAGGCGGUUUGCUAAGCGGGAGGUGAAAUGCCGGCGCUCAACGUCGGAAGUGCCUCCCGAACUGGUGGACUUGAAUGACUCUGCCGUGGGAGGAAUGUGUAGUGUAGCGGUGAAAUGCUUAGAGAUUACACAGAACACCGAUUGCGAAGGCAUCUCACGAAGGGUUGAUUGACGCUGAGGCACGAAAGCGUGGGGAUCAAACAGGAUUAGAUACCCUGGUAGUCCACGCAGUAAACGAUGAUGGCUAACCGCUGGAUCCAUCGGUUCAGUGGCCAAGCGAAAGCGAUAAGCCAUCCACCUGGGGAGUACGAUCGCAAGGUUGAAACUCAAAUGAAUUGGCGGGG